CUUGAUUUAUCGUAUCAUCUUUUAAAUUUUUGCCAGUUAAAUGUACAAUCUGAUAUGUUUUAAGCAAGGCUUUUAAUUGUCGACGAAUCGCUUCGUUUAUUUUUAAACUUCCCAUGCUUCCUCCCAUAACAAGGAGUACUUUUUUCUUAUCACUGAAUCCCGUAAGCGCAUAGCC
rnacentral:ncRNA from 1 species